rnacentral:rRNA from 1 species
AUUGAACGCUGGCGGCAUGCCUUACACAUGCAAGUCGAACGGUAACAGGUCUUCGGGUGCUGCCGAGUGGCGAACGGGUGAGUAAUACAUCGGAACGUGCCCGAUCUUGGGGGAUAACGAAGCGAAAGCUUUGCUAAUACCGCAUACGAUCUACGGAUGAAAGCAGGGGUCCGCAAGGCCUUGCGCGAACGGAGCGGCCGAUGGCAGAUUAGGUAGUUGGUGGGAUAAAAGCUUACCAAGCCGACGAUCUGUAGCUGGUCUGAGAGGACGACCAGCCACACUGGGACUGAGACACGGCCCAGACUCCUACGGGAGGCAGCAGUGGGGAAUUUUGGACAAUGGGCGAAAGCCUGAUCCAGCCAUGCCGCGUGCAGGAUGAAGGCCUUCGGGUUGUAAACUGCUUUUGUACGGAACGAAAAGACUCUGGUUAAUACCUGGGGUCCAUGACGGUACCGUAAGAAUAAGCACCGGCUAACUACGUG